rnacentral:pre_miRNA from 1 species
CCCACCAGCCCGCUCAUUUUUGUGUUUAUGCAACUUUUGUCUCUUGCCGAUCAGUGUAGUUGCAUAGUCACAAAAGUGAUUGGGAGGGUUCGGGCACUAAC